UUAAAUUAGAAAAAUCCUUUUUUGGAUUUAAAAGUGACCUAUUUAUUUGUGUACUGUACAACCCCCCUGUUACGUCUAAAUAUACCCAAGAACUCUCUUCUGAUGUUUUUGAAUGCAUAGAAAAAGAUAUCUUUCAGUAUAAAAAAAUGGGUGAAAUUUUGUUAUGUGGAGAUUUUAAUGCCAGAAUAGGCUCUGAAAAUGACUUUAUAGUAAACGAUGAUUCAAAAUUUACUCCAAUUUUUGAUACAUACCCUACUGACAAAAACAUUAUGACAAGAAAAAGUCGAGACCAAAAAAUUGAUCAAAGAGGCAAAGAAGUUUUGGAUUUUUGCAUUAGUAAACAAAUAAGAAUUUUAAAUGGCAGAGUUCUUGGUGAUACAUUUGGUAAUUUUACUUGCUAUACCCCCAAUGGUGCAAGUGUGGUUGAUUAUGUUGCUGUGUCGGAAGAAAUUCUUGAAAAUGUACUGUAUUUUAAAGUAUCCAGAUUUAUUCCCACAUUAUCUGAUUGUCAUUGUAAACUUGAGUGGGAAUUAUCUGCAAAAUAUUGUGUUCCUGGAGAAAAUGAUAUUCCAAUCCAGUUGAAAAAUAUGACACCUAAUUAUAUCUGGACUGACUGUUCAGCAAUAAAAUUUCAAGAAACACUUUCUUCAGAUACACUACAAAACUACAUACUAGAAUUCAACAACAGCACAAUUCAAUUUACUCAGACAUCAGUAGAUGAAGCAUCAUCAAAACUUUCAAACAUCUUUUUAUCAGCAGCAAAUCUAUCACUUAAACGACCUUUAAAAAAACACACAAACAAACAAAAAAACAAAAAGUGGUUUGACGCAAGUUUACAACAAGCUCGAACUAACUUGCUUAAUUAUGGAAAAAUUUAUUCAAGAUUUCCAUAUGAUCCAAUUAUCAAAAAUCACUUUUAUAAACUGAAUCGUGAAUACUCCAAACUAAGGAAAUAUAAAUACAAACAAUACAAACAAUCAUUGAUUAGUCAGCUGGACUCCUUGCACGAAGAGAAUCCAAAACUGUAUUGGAACUUAAUUAAUGAACUACAGG
rnacentral:lncRNA from 1 species